CACGUAAGGUGCGAGCGUUGUUCGGAAUCAUUGGGCGUAAAGGGCGCGUAGGCGGCCGGACAAGCGGGGUGUGAAAGGCGGGGGCCCAACCCCCGGACUGCGCCCCGAACUGUAAGGCUGGAGUUGCCGUGGCGCCGGCGGAAUUCCAGGUGUAGGGGUGAAAUCUGUAGAUAUCUGGAAGAACACCGGUGGCGAAGGCGGCCGGCGAGCGGACAACUGACGCUGAGGCGCGAAGGUGCGGGGAG
rnacentral:rRNA from 1 species